rnacentral:rRNA from 1 species
UGCCAGCAGCCGCGGUAAUACGGAGGGUGCAAGCGUUAAUCGGAAUUACUGGGCGUAAAGCGCACGCAGGCGGUUUGUUAAGUCAGAUGUGAAAUCCCCGGGCUCAACCUGGGAACUGCAUCUGAUACUGGCAAGCUUGAGUCUCGUAGAGGGGGGUAGAAUUCCAGGUGUAGCGGUGAAAUGCGUAGAGAUCUGGAGGAAUACCGGUGGCGAAGGCGGUUCUCUGGGCCUUUCCUGACGCUGAGGAGCGAAAGCGUGGGGAGCGAACAGGCUUAGAUACCCUGGUAGUCCACGCUGUAAACGGUGGGUACUAGGUGUGGGGUCCAUUCCACGGGUUCCGCGCCGUAGCUAGCGCUUUAAGUACCCCGCCUGGGGAGUACGGCCGCAAGGCUAAAACUCAAAGGAAUUGAGCGGGGGCCCGCACAAA